UAAUAUUCCUUUUUCUGUAUUAAGUAACAUUUAUUUCUUACCACAGGCUUAGCUCUGUAGCCAAAAUGCAGAAAGAUCUGACUGAGUACUCAAUCAGGUCUCUGAGUCCUUUCUGCUCCUUGCAGGAUAAGCUGUAGGGCUUGAACGAAAAUGCAUGGUUUUGGUUGUUUGUUUUUCCAGUGUUGGCAGAUCUGGCACCUCAGAGAUAAAAAAAAUAUAAAGGCCAUUUUGUGGGAGUAACAAAGGUACCUUUUGCUAACUCAGAGGUGUUGCAAUAAAUAACUCAGCAGGGUCAUGUGUCCUUAUUUUACUGUAUUCUGAAAAGUGCAAACUUUGCAUUGCUUAAAAUAGUAAGUGAACUUUGCUUACCCUUCAGUUCUUCUUGACUGCACCUCUGCCUCAAAUGUCCCUGUGGAAACCACCCAAGAAGAGAAGAACAUCUUCCCCUAGAGCUGCUGCUCCCAUCUCUUUCUUCAUCAUUAAUUCUGCUGCAGAAGGGAGUUCCUGUUUUCCUGUUCCUCCAUACAUCAGUGCCUGCCUGCAGGAGAUGCAGCUCCUGCUCCUCUGACAUGAGGAAAAACAGAGGUACAACACGUGUGCUUGCUGAGGGUGAGGGGAAGGUGAGGAGGCUUCAAGAGGAAUGAUAUUGAAAGGCGGAGAGAAGACUGGAAAGUUUUACCCUCAGAUGAAGCUUGGUGUGCUUUGUAACUAAAGGUGACCCUGAAGGCUGUCUCUCUCUACUGUAGCUGCCAUUGCCAGACUUACAGAGAAAGCCAUGUGUGGGCAAACAGCCCUGCUGAAGAACAGUGGAAUUUGCUAAGCAGGCUCAGGGUUAAUCUUUUGCUUUGAGACGGGAGCUAUUCUCUCGCAUCCCACACCAGUGCUGCCGGAAGCAUCUCUUUCUGGAAAGAUGGAGGAGAGCAGCGCCUCUGGCUACAGUGUAACCCUUG